rnacentral:rRNA from 1 species
CUACGGGGCGCAGCAGUGAGGAAUAUUGCACAAUGGAGGAAACUCUGAUGCAGCAACGCCGCGUGGAGGAUGACGCAUUUCGGUGUGUAAACUCCUUUUAUAUGUCAAGAAAAUGACGGUAGCAUAUGAAUAAGCUCCGGCUAACUCCGCGCCAGCAGCCGCGGUAAUACGGAGGGAGCAAGCGUUACUCGGAAUCACUGGGCGUAAAGGACGCGUAGGCGGGAUAGAAAGUCAGGUGUGAAAUCCUAUGGCUCAACCAUAGAACUGCACUUGAAACUUCUAACCUAGAGUAUGGGAGGGGAAGAUGGAAUUAGUGGUGUAGGGGUAACAUCCGUAGAUAUCACUAGGAAUACCAAAAGCGAAGGCGAUCUUCUGGAACAAUACUGACGCUAAGGCGUGAAAGCGUGGGGAGCAAACAGGAUUAGAUACCCUAGUAGUC